AUCGCCUUCGAUCACGAAAUCGGCCCCUCACUCUCUCCCUUGCCCUCAUAUCAGUUGGCUUCUUCCUGUUCUCCUCUGCAAAUACAACUGUUAAUUCUCGACCAAGGAGAACUCUACCAUCCAUAUGAUGUUUCGCCUCAGCAGCAUCAUAAGGAUCUGCAUAUUGGACAAAACCAAAACCACGGGGUUCCCCAGUAUAAUAAUCCUUAGGCAAGUAAAUGUCCUUGAGAGCACCGAACUGUUCAAAAGGCCUGCGGAGGUCUUCUGGCCUGCAAUCAUGACGAAGAUUACGCACGAGAAGGCUAGUAGGAAGAUCCCUACCACCGCGACGACCGCCACCACCAUAACGUCCUCUAGGACUAGGGCUGCGACCCCUUCUACCAUAGCCCCUUGGUGGAGAUGGGCUAUAACUCCUUCCUCUCAUUUAGACGAAAUUUUUACCUGAACAGAGAGAGAAUCGGCGAAUUAGGGUUUCAGUGGAAGCUUAAAGAAGUAGGCGGCGGUGCAUAGUGAGCUAGUGCGAGGCUAGGGUGCAGGCAAUAUUGGUUGGAUAAAAUGGGUAGAAGAGCUUCGAACCUGCCU
rnacentral:misc_RNA from 1 species